AUUGAGCGCUGGCGGCAUGCUUUACACAUGCAAGUCGAACGGUAACAGGUUAAGCUGACGAGUGGCGAACGGGUGAGUAAUGCAUCGGAACGUGCCCGGUCGUGGGGGAUAACACUUCGAAAGAAGUGCUAAUACCGCAUACGCUCUGAGGAUGAAAGCGGGGGACCGUAAGGCCUCGCGCGAUCGGAGCGGCCGAUGUCAGAUUAGGUAGUUGGUGGGGUAAAGGCUCACCAAGCCGACGAUCUGUAGCUGGUCUGAGAGGACGACCAGCCACACUGGGACUGAGACACGGCCCAGACUCCUACGGGAGGCAGCAGUGGGGAAUUCUGGACAACGGGCGCAAGCCUGAUCCAGCAAUGCCGCGUGCAGGAAGAAGGCCUUCGGGUUGUAAACUGCUUUUGUACGGAGCGAAAAGGCUCUCUCUAAUACAGGGGGCUCAUGACGGUACCGUAAGAAUAAGCACCGGCUAACUACGUGCCAGCAGCCGCUGUAA
rnacentral:rRNA from 1 species